CAAAAAAUAGUCCAAGAGAAUUGACCAGUUCGGGAUCCUCUUCUUACUAAGUGUCAAAGGGAAGAUUUUCUUCAGCAUUGUAGCUAGGCGGCUGGCAGACCUCCUCUCCAACAACAGCUACAUUGACACUUCAGUGCAAAAAUUAGGCAUCCAAAACGUUUCUGGUUGUCUGGAGCACACAGGAGUGGUGACCUAGCUCAUCAGCAAUGCGUGAGAGAACAAGGGAGAACUGGCUGUGCUCUGGCUACAGAUUGACAAGCUGGUGCAGUAUACAAUUACCAAACACCAUGUCCCAGGCAAAGUGGCAUUCCUCAUUCUGGUCUACUACGGACGGUUCAGCAUGAGAAUCGCCUGCGCUUCAACAUCGCAGGAACACCGAUCCCAACCAUCUCAGAAAAGCCAGUGAACACCUUGCCUGAAAGAUCCAGGCCACCUGUCAGGAGCUGGAGAGCUGGCUGAAAGCGGUUCGCUGGUCAGGACUGCCCGGCCAUUUCAAGGUGUGGAUGUAGCAGCAUGGCAUCCUCCUGAGGAUACUCUGGUCUCUGCUCAUCUACGACGUCCCCAUCUCUACUGUUGAGAAUGUGGCGAGGAAUGUUGCAAAAAUGUAAAAAUCUUCCCAGAGUGAAAUAGUUCCCAAUCGUUCUGAUUGUGUUCUGAUUUUGACAUCAUGUUGUUAAAUUUCUCACAUCAUGUGUAUGCACUUGCAGAUAUCUCUCAGGAUCCAAACAACCAGUUUUUUUUUACUGUUGUUAUAAAUUAAGAUUAGUAUUUGCCUUUGUUAUAUAUAAUGUACUAUGUUUUCUCGUUCUAUAUGGUUGAGGAGUGCCCAGAGUGUCAAAUCUAUGAUCACAUGAAAAAGCGGGCCGUUGUGAUGCAUUACAUCGAUGUUAGACAUGCAUGGUCUGCCAUGGGCAUCAAUCUAAUAGGCCUUUUUGAGAAGAGAACCGCAGCUGGUAACCAGUAUGCCCUAACCAUGACUGACCUCUUCAGCAAAUGGGUGAUUGCUGAACCACUGGAGGGCAAAUCGGGAACAGAGAAUGCUUCAAUAGUCAUCAAUAAACUUCUUGAUUUUGGACUUGUGGGACAAGAAGUUUAUUUCACCUUUAUUUAACUAGGCAAGUCAGUUAAGAACAAAUUAUUAUUUACAAUGACAGCCUACACCGGCCAGACCCUAACCAGGACAACGCAGGGCCAACUGUGCGCUGCCCUAUGGGACUCCCGGUUGUGAUACAUCCCGGGAUCGAACCAGAGUCUGUAGUGACACCUCUCGCACUGUGAUGCAGUGCCUUAGACCGCUGCCCCACUCAGGAGUAUCAUCACUGACCGGGGAGUUGAGUUUGUAAGCGAUGUACCUAGUCUUACAGUCACUGAUGUCAAACAUUGGUCAUGAAAAGGCUAACACUUUCGAAUCAUAACCAUACAAGUGCUAUGUUUGUCACUUUUUCAUUUUCAGCUCAACAGAUCCAUAAUAGACAUAAGGUUUGCCCAGCUAGACACCAAUACGGAGCUAGUAGCAGAAAUGGACACCAAAGAUGUGAAAACACUUCCCGUGUGUACAUUCAUAUCCUGGUUGUGCAGUUGGACUAACAGCAGACAUGUCCAUGUCUUGUUACCUGAAGGUCUUUGAUGGUCCGUCCAAGCAGAUCAGAGUGUACAACUCAAAAGGCUCCCGCCAAGGCAUCAGGUCAGAGGGUCUGGACUUGCUGAGCAAUGCCUUCCGGGAAUGUAUGGGAUCUGAGUGAAUCAUAAAGGCGCCGGAGAGGAUGGCUGCCGUUUUACGGGCUGCGAACCAACUGUGUGCUAUUUUUAAUUUUUUUGCAUCGUUUGAAACUCAUUUCAUACAUAUUGUUGCUGCUACCGUCUCUUAUGACCGAAAAUAGCUUCUGGAUAUCAGAACAGCGAUUACUCACCUCGAACUGGACAAAGAUAUUUCUUUAAUGCGUCUGACGCAAAGGACAUACUGCUUCUCCGAGACCAGGCCCAAUAUCCCUGUCAUUCACGUGAAGAAAAUACGGAAAUGCAGGGGGCGGAGAUCGGGUGCCUUGUGAGAAUUCGUUGGCGAGUGGGCAACCCGCCUCUACGCUCUCCAUCCCAAACUAUCCUACCAACGGGACAUUAAAAACGGUAAUAUCUUAUGUUUUACCGAGACGUGGCUGAACGACGACACAGAUAAUAUACAGUUGGCUGGGUUUUCCGUGCAUCGGCAGAACAGAACAGCUACGUCUGGUAAGAUGAGGGGUGGGGGUGUCUAUUUGUGAAUGACAGCUGGUGCGCAAUGUCUAAAAUGUUCAAGGUAUUGCUCGCCUGAGGUAGAGUACCUCAUGAUAAGCUGUAGACCACACUAUCUACCAAGAUGCUGGCACUUAGAAAUGUCCUUGUUUUGAAAAAAACACAUUUUGCCCAUUAAAAUAACAUCAAAUUGAUCAGAAAUACAGUGUAGACAUAGUCAUUUACAACAUUAACAAUCUUAGCUUGAAACAGUGUCACGACUUCCGCUGAAGUCGGCUCCUCUCCUUGUUCGGGCGACGUUCGGCGGUCGACGUCACCGGCUUUCUAGCCAUCGCCGCUUCAUUUCUCAUUAUUCCAUUUGUUUUGUCUAGUUUCAUACACACCUGGUUUUCAUUCCAUAAUCAACUGCAUGUAUUUAGUACUCUGUUCCCCUCCAUGUCUUUGUGUGAAAUUGUUUAUUGUUGAGGGUGGUAUUUGUUACGUGUAUUUUUCCAGCCGUUGCAGUUUUGUUUUUGACCGUGUUUUGGCACUUGUUUAUUUGUUAUGUGCUGUAUAUUAUUUACCGGUAUUAAAGUGCUCCUGUUAUUAUACUCGGCUCUCCUGCGUUUGACUUCGCCUCCAUACACCUCGCCUAACAGAAUUUCACACCUACUAUGG